AACGCUGGCGGCGUGCUUAACACAUGCAAGUCGAACGAAGCACCUUGAUUUGAUUCUUCGGAUGAAGAUCCUGGUGACUGAGUGGCGGACGGGUGAGUAACGCGUGGGUAACCUGCCUCAUACAGGGGGAUAACAGUUAGAAAUGACUGCUAAUACCGCAUAAGACCACAGCACCGCAUGGUGCAGGGGUAAAAACUCCGGUGGUAUGAGAUGGACCCGCGUCUGAUUAGGUAGUUGGUGGGGUAACGGCCUACCAAGCCGACGAUCAGUAGCCGACCUGAGAGGGUGACCGGCCACAUUGGGACUGAGACACGGCCCAAACUCCUACGGGAGGCAGCAGUGGGGAAUAUUGCACAAUGGGGGAAACCCUGAUGCAGCGACGCCGCGUGAGCGAUGAAGUAUUUCGGUAUGUAAAGCUCUAUCAGCAGGGAAGAAAAUGACGGUACCUGACUAAGAAGCACCGGCUAAAUACGUGCCAGCAGCCGCGGUAAUACGUAUGGUGCAAGCGUUAUCCGGAUUUACUGGGUGUAAAGGGAGCGUAGACGGAGUGGCAAGUCUGAUGUGAAAACCCGGGGCUCAACCCAGGGACUGCAUUGGAAACUGUCAAUCUAGAGUACCGGAGAGGUAAGCGGAAUUCCUAGUGUAGCGGUGAAAUGCGUAGAUAUUAGGAGGAACACCAGUGGCGAAGGCGGCUUACUGGACGGUAACUGACGUUGAAGCUCGAAAGCGUGGGGAGCAAACAGGAUUAGAUACCCUGGUAGUCCACGCCGUAAACGAUGACUACUAGGUGUCGGGCAGCAAAGCUGUUCGGUGCCGCAGCAAACGCAAUAAGUAGUCCACCUGGGGAGUACGUUCGCAAGAAUGAAACUCAAAUGAAUU
rnacentral:rRNA from 1 species